rnacentral:lncRNA from 1 species
CUGCAUAUCUGUGGGUAGGGUUGUGUCCAGAGCUGCUCUGCCCGUUAGCAAUUCUAGCAGAACAACGCCGAAUCCGUACACAUCGCUUUUAACAUACAGGUGCCCUGCAAUUUUUCAUAUACAUGUUUUCUCUCAUCAACAAAUCAUCAUUUUUUUGACAUAUAAUUUUCAUUUGACGAGGGUACCUGUGGCCAUGUAUUCAGGUGCAGCGUAACCAUAGGUGCCCAUGAUCCGUGUGGUUACGUGGGAUUUACCAUUGGCGGGGCCAAGUUUUGCCAGCCCGAAAUCUGAUAGCUUUGCAUU